rnacentral:rRNA from 1 species
GACGAACGCUGGCGGCGUGCCUAAUACAUGCAAGUAGAACGCACAGUUUAUACCGUAGCUUGCUACACCAUACACUGUGAGUUGCGAACGGGUGAGUAACGCGUAGGUAACCUGCCUGGUAGCGGGGGAUAACUAUUGGAAACGAUAGCUAAUACCGCAUAAUAUUGAUUAUUGCAUGAUAAUUGAUUGAAAGAUGCUAUUGCAUCACUACCAGAUGGACCUGCGUUGUAUUAGCUAGUAGGUGAGGUAACGGCUCACCUAGGCGACGAUACAUAGCCGACCUGAGAGGGUGAUCGGCCACACUGGGACUGAGACACGGCCCAGACGCCUACGGGAGGCAGCAGUAGGGAAUCUUCGGCAAUGGACGAAAGUCUGACCGAGCAACGCCGCGUGAGUGAAGAAGGUUUUCGGAUCGUAAAGCUCUGUUGUAAGAGAAGAACGGGUGUGAGAGUGGAAAGUUCACACUGUGACGGUAGCUUACCAGAAAGGGACGGCUAACUACGUG